rnacentral:rRNA from 1 species
CCCUUAGAUGUUCUGGGCCGCACGCGCGCUACACUGACGAUGGCAACGAGUUUUUCCUUCGCCGAAAGGUGUGGGUAAUCUUUUGAAACAUCGUCGUGCUGGGGAUAGAUCAUUGCAAUUUUUGAUCUUGAACGAGGAAUUCCUAGUAAGCGCGAGUCAUCAGCUCGCGUUGAUUACGUCCCUGCCCUUUGUACACACCGCCCGUCGCUACUACCGAUUGAAUGGUUUAGUGAGGACUCCUGAUUGGCGCCGCCGCCCCGGCAACGGAGCAGCGGACUGCCGAAAAGUUGUUCAAACGUGAUCAUUUAGAGGAAGUAAAAGUCGUAACA